rnacentral:tRNA from 1 species
GCCUGAGUGGCUCAGUCAGUUGAGCAUCUGACUUCAGCUCAGGUCAUGAUCUCAUGGUUUGUGGGUUCGAGUCCCACAUCAGGCU